rnacentral:hammerhead_ribozyme from 1 species
AUCCAAAUGACGAGUCCCAAAGAGGGCGAACCACGCGUCCUGGAU